rnacentral:lncRNA from 1 species
GCUCUGUGCCCGGCUUACAGAACUGGAAGGGGGAGCCACCUUCCGCCUGAUGGAGGCUGGAGAACGGAUGGAACCUGGAUCCCUGGAGCCUGGGACACUACCUCGCUGCGGUUGGUGGUGGCCACAGACCAGUAGGAGGGCGGCUGGCAGCGGGAGCUUCUUCUGCCGGGCUGGAGGACUAGGAGAAGGGAGAGGGAACGCCACAUGCUGGAGGCUGGAGCCUGUGCCACCGUGGCUCACCUCGAUGUGGUUGGUGGCAGCUCGCCUUGCUGUGGUUGGUGGUGACGUCGGAGACUGCAGCUCGGCCACAGUGGUAGAAAUGUGUUGGGCUUUUGCUGUGUUGGGCACUUGCUCCCAUCUGCUUGCUUCUCUAGAAUCCACUGCCCUAGAAUGAGUAAUUUUUCUUAGAAGCAGAGUUGGAACCACUGAGGAAGCACAGUCAUCUGAUUCAUCCUGGUAGCAAUUCCAUUCUGCAUCUCUUCUGGACACCCACAGGACCACCAGAACAACCCCAUCAUGGCCCUGUCACCAGGCCCAGUUUGGCUCCAUGAUAACCAAGACGCAGGUCCAGAGACAACCGCCCUGCUUGAUGCCUGCAUCUGACCUCCCUUGGUGGGUAGUGAUGAGCACAACAUGGAAGAAGCCAGGGCAGCUUGUGGCCAGCUGCCCUACAGCCCCAGAUGGCUGGGGACUAGGAUUCCAAAAGGAUGAUUUUGGAGCUGUAGGAUUGAAUGACUGGCCUGCUGGGUUUUGGAUGUUCGUGUAUCCUAUGAGUCCCAUCGGUGUUUGUUUUUCUUUCAGGCAAUUUUUCUUCUAUUGGCUGGGAAUGCUUACCCAUUGCCUGUACAAUCAUUGUACCUUGGAAGUAGUUAACUUGCUUUAUAAUUCAGAGGCUCAUGGGCAGAAGGGACUGUAUCCUUGUCCCAGAUAAAACUUUGGGCUUUGGACAUUUGCUGGAAUGAGUUAAGAUUUGGGGGACUGUAGGGAAGUCAUCAUUGUAUUUUGCAACGUGAGAAAGACAUACGAGAUUUGCAUGGGCAGGGACAGAAUAAUAUGACUUGGCUCUGUGUCCCACUGCUGUGAAAUUGUAACGGGAAAUGUUAAAGGUGGUGGGGGCUGGUGGAAGGUGAUUUAAUC